rnacentral:rRNA from 1 species
AGAGUUUGAUCAUGGCUCAGAACGAACGCUGGCGGCGUGCUUAACACAUGCAAGUCGAGUGCGCGUACCGUAGCAAUACGGUAUGGCGCACGGCGCACGGGUGCGUAACACGUGGGCAAUCUGCCCUUCGAUGGGGAAUAACUCCGGGAAACCGAAGCUAAUUCCGCAUAACAUUCCUUGGACUGCGGUUCGAGGACUCAAAGCCGUAAGGCGUCGAAGGAGGAGCCCGCGCCCGAUUAGCUAGUUGGUGAGGUAACGGCUCACCAAGGCAAUGAUCGGUAGCUGGUCUGAGAGGAUGGCCAGCCACACUGGAACUGAGACACGGUCCAGACUCCUACGGGAGGCAGCAGUGGGGAAUCUUGCGCAAUGGGCGAAAGCCUGACGCAGCGACGCCGCGUGGGGGAUGAAGCAUUUCGGUGUGUAAACCCCUUUCGACUGGGACGAAUACCUCGCAAGAGGGGUGACGGUACCAGUAGAAGAAGCCCCGGCUAACUACGUGCCAGCAGCCGCGGUAAGACGUAGGGGGCCAGCGUUGUUCGGAAUUACUGGGUGUAAAGGGUUCGUAGGCGGUGUGGCAAGUCGGGAGUGAAAUCUAUGGGCUUAACCCAUAGGCUGCUUCCGAAACUGCCGUGCUUGAGUGUGGGAGAGGCGCGUGGAAUUGCAGGUGUAGCGGUGAAAUGCGUAGAUAUCUGCAGGAACACCCGUGGCGAAAGCGGCGCGCUGGACCACUACUGACGCUGAGGAACGAAAGCUAGGGGAGCAAACAGGAUUAGAUACCCUAGUAGUCC